CCUCAGUGGAAUCCUAAGGUUAAUAAGACUGUCUCUAGCCACUGGGGCUCCCAGCCUGGAGUGAGGCCUGAACACCCUGUCCUACCUGGUCCUACCUGGAUGCUGGCCUCAGUAAGCUCCUGGGCUCAUUGAAGAUGAACCUAGCAGUAGUAUUUACACCACUUGUUGUGUGCCCACUGUGGGCCCGGCGCCAUGCCGAGUGCUCUAUGGAUGUGAGAUGAGAACACUGAAGCAGUUUUUUCUAAAGAUAGCUGCCUGGCACAGUGGCUCACAUCUGUAGUCCCAGCAUUUGGGGAGGCCAAGGCAGGUGGAUCACUUGAGGCCAGGAAUUCAAGACCAGCAUGGCCAACAUGCGGGGGAAGACUGGCAGGCUCCUAUAUCCUCGAAGUAUCCUGCCAUGAGAUGCCUGCAGAGUGGGGAAUGGCAUCACCUUUCCAACCCUGUGCAGCACCCAGUGCGAGCUGCUUAUUAGUGGGAACUGGAGAGGAAGAGGAGGAAAAGGAGGACCCAUGGCCAUGGCUUUUUCUGUCCUUGUAACCCUCAACUGAUAUGUAUCCCAUACUUCUUGGUUGGGCAGAGGGGAGAGCAGAGGUUGACAGGUCACAUUUCCCUCAGUUUUCCAUCCUUCCUUCAGUGCUGGGAGAGAAAAGCAUACGACAUAGACAGGGAGGUCAAGCUCCACCACGCAGAUGAGGUGCAGGCCACCAGUCUUCCUCUGCCACAUCUCUUUCUGAAAAGGCAGCCUGUGCUGAGAAACCAUGACUGAGUAAGCCAAGCUUUGUUGGCCGCACCUGCCAAGCCACAGGGUGCCUCAGGCUUGGAGCAUCCCGGAGCCAGUUACAACCCAAGACUUCAGCCUUCUGGAAGGUGUUGGGUCAGCCACCCUGAAGGACGAUCCUGCCCAAGUGACAUGCUUUGCUCUUCCUUCUCACCCAGGACUUCACAUUCACCCUUGCAAUCCAUGUGGGGACACUGUUGGAUAGGAGGCGUGGUCCCAGCGUGGUCUCCCUGUCUGGGCCUCUGCCUAUGCCAAAUGUUUGCCUUACGCUGCACACUCAAGAGGUUCCAUGUAUACAGAUGGGAAUUCCAGAGCUACAGAAAAGGCAGCAAGCACCAUGAUUUAAGCUAACCAGUGUGGAUUCACACCUUCCUCUCUCUCUAUCAGUGGCAGAACUACCAGCUAGAGUAAGAAGUGGUUGAUCCAGGACCUAAACAUUCUGGAAACUCUUGCCCACUUCUGGGAGAAAUGACCCAAUCCAUAGUACUAAGCACACCUUAACUUUCGUAGGACGCAGGCAAGUUGUCAUACCGUGUGCCUAAAUAUAGAAAAAUGAUCCACUGGACUAAUAAAGUGUUAAAUAAAAU
rnacentral:lncRNA from 1 species